AUUGAACGCUGGCGGCAGGCCUAACACAUGCAAGUCGAACGAGUGGCGGACGGGUGAGUAAUGUCUGGGAAACUGCCUGAUGGAGGGGGAUAACUACUGGAAACGGUAGCUACUACCGCAUACCAUCGGAUGUGCCCAGAUGGGAUUAGCUAGUAGGUGGGGUAAAGGCUCACCUAGGCGACGAUCCCUAGCUGGUCUGAGAGGAUGACCAGCAAACCUGGAACUGAGACAGGGGACAGACUCCUACGGGAGGCAACAGUGGGGAAUAUUGCACAAUGGGAACAAGCCUGAUGCAGCCAUUCCGCGUGUAGGAAGAAGGCCUUCAGGUUGUAAAGUAAGUUAAGCAGAGAAGCGUUACCAGCAGAAAAAGCAACGGCUAACUCCGUGCCAGCAGCCGCGGUAAUUC
rnacentral:rRNA from 1 species